CAGGAGGGUCCCGGCCCCAAGGGCGGCCGCGGCGCCCGCCUGGUGUGGGUGUGCGGAGGCAGCUACCUCCUGGCGUCCGGCUUCGACAGCCGCAGCGAGCGGAGGAUCCUACUGUACCAGGCGCAGGACCUGUCCGCAGGGCCCCUGUCCAUUCUCAGCAUCGACGUGGCACCAUCCACCCUCCUGCCUUUCUACGAUGAGGACACCAGCGUGGUCUUUCUCACCGGCAAGGGUGACACCCGCGUCUUCCUGUAUGAGGUGACACCAGAGCCUCCCUACUUUUUGGAGUGCAACAGCUUCACCUCCAGCGAGCCGCACAAG